GAUGAAGAACGUAGCGAAAUGCGAUACGUAAUGUGAAUUGCAGAAUUCAGUGAAUCAUCGAGUCUUUGAACGCACAUUGCGCCCCCUGGUAUUCCGGGGGGCAUGCCUGUCCGAGCGUCAUUGCUGCCCUCAAGCACGGCUUGUGUGUUGGGCCUCCGUCCUCCUCCCGGGGGACGGGCCCGAAAGGCAGCGGCGGCACCGCGUCCGGUCCUCGAGCGUAUGGGGCUUCGUCACCCGCUCUUGUAGGCCCGGCCGGCGCUUGCCGACACAUCAAUCUUUUUUCCAAGUUGACCUCGGAUCAGGUAGGGAUACCCGCUGAACUUAAGCAUAUCAAUAAGCGGAGG
rnacentral:misc_RNA from 1 species